rnacentral:misc_RNA from 1 species
AUCCCUUUUGAUCCACUGGACCACCACAUCCACUUUGGUUGUUGAUCCCGGUUGGUCAAGACAUGGACCUUCAUCACUGAUCGUCUUGAAUUCAGGCACGGGUUGUUCGUGAGAGUGGAAGCCAGUUCUAUUGAUCGACCAGUCCGCUCAUACCCA